UGUAAAGGAAAACAAAUCGCGCCAAUUGAAGGAAGUUACGGUAACCGCAAGCAGUUACAUGCGGUUCCGAUCGGCUAGAUAUGGUCCGGAAUAUGAUGAGAUAGUGGCCGAUCGUGUAAGAGCAAUAACUGACCGAAGGGGUUAUCUAUAAAUAGGGUAAUAAUACCCUAAAAAAAGGCCUUUUCCCCUGCGAACAAAAAACGACCCUUAUUUUCCUGCAUCUUUCUUUUCUGCAUUUACCGCUUUUCCUAGGAAUAGUUCCUGUAACUUAGCAUCCUGGAAUCUGUCUGCCCUUU
rnacentral:lncRNA from 1 species